rnacentral:lncRNA from 1 species
AAAACCUUUACUUUGUUCCUGAUCUUAUGGAGAAAACAUUUAGUCUUUUACCAUUGAUUAAACUAUAGCAGCCACAUCUCCCCUGACUGGUGUUGGAACAACUGAGUCUUCAACACUGGGCUCUGCCAUACUCAACUCUUCAUUUCCAGCAUCUUCAUGUCUUUAAGCAGCACAGUGGCCAAAAGCACAGAAGAUCAUGUAUGGAAGGCCUUUAUGGGACAGGCCUGGGAGUGACAAUCAUUUUGCCCUUUAUAUCCCAAUUUAAAGCACUUAGCUACUGGACCAUACCUUACUGCAAGUUAAGCUGGGAUAUGUGGCUUAACUGAAUGCCUAGGAAAAAGAGAAAUCAGUUGAAUACAUUGCUGGCCUCUCUCAUAGCCAACUAUGAUUUCAUGGUUGAUCUUGAAAAUUGGUUUUCUAAAACUUAAAUUUACAAAUAUACCACUUACAUUUUUUGAGUUUUCUUUGAUUUUAAAAACAGCAUCCUGUAAACAUGAACAUUAAUAGAGUUGAAAUUAAUGUAAUGUUUCCAUUCUUC